rnacentral:sRNA from 1 species
GGGCGCCGGCGCGGGUCCUGGAGCCGGGUGGGGAAGUCCUGCGCCCUCCCCCUCCUUCCGCAGCCCAGCCUCGGGGGCCAGCCCCCUCCGCCCACCGCACACGGGCUGGCCAUGCGGCGGCUCUGAACGAUGUCCUCCUCCUCCUACGCCAAGAAUGGGACGGCGGACGGGCCGCACUCCCCCACCUCGCAGGUGGCCCGAGGCACCACAACCCGGAGGAGCAGGUUGAAAAGAUCCGAUGGCAGCACCACUUCGACCAGCUUCAUCCUCAGACAGGGUUCAGCGGAUUCCUACACAAGCAGGCCGUCUGACUCCGAUGUCUCUUUGGAAGAGGACCGGGAAGCAAUUCGACAGGAGAGAGAACAGCAAGCAGCUAUCCAGCUUGAGAGAGCAAAGUCCAAACCUGUAGCAUUUGCCGUGAAGACAAAUGUGAGCUACUGCGGCGCCCUGGACGAGGAUGUGCCUGUUCCAAGCACAGCUAUUUCCUUUGAUGCUAAAGACUUUCUACAUAUUAAAGAGAAAUAUAACAAUGAUUGGUGGAUAGGAAGGCUAGUGAAAGAGGGCUGUGAAAUUGGCUUCAUUCCAAGCCCACUCAGAUUGGAGAACAUACGGAUUCAGCAAGAACAAAAAAGAGGACGUUUUCAUGGAGGGAAAUCAAGUGGAAAUUCUUCUUCAAGUCUUGGAGAAAUGGUAUCUGGGACAUUUCGAGCAACUCCCACAUCAACAGCAAAACAGAAGCAAAAAGUGACGGAGCACAUUCCUCCUUAUGAUGUUGUGCCGUCAAUGCGUCCGGUGGUGUUAGUGGGGCCGUCACUGAAAGGUUACGAGGUAACAGACAUGAUGCAGAAAGCCCUCUUUGAUUUCCUGAAGCACAGGUUUGAUGGGAGGUGAGAAAUAUAGAUGUUUUUGUAUUUUUAUUUUCCUUUAACCAAACUUGUGUGAUAAAUUGAAUUGUAGAUCUGUGUUUCCAGAGAUUUCAGAAGUUCUCUAGUUAAAAGUUAACUCAGUAUUCUUGGGAAGAAUAUAAUAAAAGAACUCUGAAAAUAUGAAGUAUAACAUUGAGUCCCCAAUGAAGAAAGGACCAUGAGAAGAAAAAUAAACCAUUUGUUUUAUUUAAAUGUAUAUAUCUUUAUUUUCUCAGUUAUUAAUAAUUUCAUACCAAAAUGUUUUUUAUGAAAAAAUAUUAAUUAAAAUAUAUAAUAUUUCUGAUGAGUGUACUGGCUUGCUGGUGAAGCUAGCCAGUAUUUGGGAAUUGUGUGUGUGUGUGUGUGUCCUAUGAAAGUAUAAAUACCAAGUGCUGAAUUUCCUCAAAAGAAGAGAGAAUUCUUCUAAUCAUAAGCCUCCCAAAGUGAUUAUUUUAUAGGGAAUAGUACUUAUUUGGAUAUUUAUUAUAAUUGUGGGUUUGUUUUUAUUAGAAAAGCCCUUGUUAUUUUAUUGAUCUAUUUUUUAAUGUAUUUUACUAUGAUCCAUCAACAAUAUGGCUGAGGCAUUAGCCAUUAAAUAAUUUUAUCAUUUAAGUUUUGUGGAAAAAUCUAGAGAAAGUUUCUCUGUUUUGCAGAGAAAUGGUAAAAAGCCUGUAUUGACUCAAUUCUAAAUAUUAAGCUCUUUCACAAUGCAGAAGGCAGUCCAUGUAAAAAUAACCACAUGAAAAAACCUGAAGAUUUAUCAGAAAUGUAGAAAAUUUAAAUAGGGUGCAUCAAAAAGUAUGGGCAAAUGCAUCCAAUUUAUUACUGUAGGAUUGAAGAAGAACAUCACAUUAUUUUUGAAGGCAGUAAUUAAGCCACUCACUUUCUCUUUGCUAAAUUAUGAGAAUCUGCUAAAUGCAUGAAAUAAUUUUAAAAUGUAAAGAAAAACUUCAGAUGGGUUUUAAUAAAUUGGUAUAUUAAGAAAAACAAACAUGGUAUUGCUUUAAAUAUAAAUUGUAUGCAUUUGUUAAAAUAAAAGCUUUCUGGAUAAUUGGGUAAAAUAUUCAUUAGUUUCUAGAACUAUAUAGAAAGAAAGUAAACAGAUUUUAGUUUAAGAAAUAAGAAUGCUUCUAGGUACAUUAGUAUAUAGGUCAGGCUGCCUUAAUAAAUAGACCCCAAAAUGUGUAGCGAUUCAAACACAAUGGAAGCUUAUUAUUGCUCACUUAACAGUCUGAGGCAGGUGUUCCUUGGCUGGGAGGGAGGAUAGAGUUGGGGGAGGGGAGAAUUGGGCAGAAAGUUUGUUCCCUCUAUCAUUUGGGGCCCUUAGCCCAGGUAUGAUGUCUCUAGUCAGCUUGCCGGGCCUGGAGAUAGCGCAACUCACAUUUCACUGGUUAGAACUUGGUUAUGUGGUCAUACUUAAUUGCAGCGGAGGCACUCUUGCAGUCCAGGAGGAAGAGGAGAUAGAAUUUGUUGAACCAAUAAUAGCCUUCAUCACAUUCAUCUGCUGGACAAAGGCUUAAUAAGAAAGAUGUAUUUGUUCCAUUUCACUCUCUUUAAAAAAGAAAUAGGCAGAUAAUGAAGUAGCUUCAAGGAAAAUAAGUUAAAAGCCCUGAAUCCUGGAGAAUUGGAGUUGGAAGGAUACAUAAAAUGUCUUUUAGACUAAUCUCAUUUCUCCAACAACCACAAUCAGAUAGACAACCUGCUUCUGUUUGAAACUUUUGGUUAUUGGGAUUUCACUUCCUGAAAAAGCAUUGCAAAGAAGCAGCUGAACUCUGACUUUGUAGCUUAAUAGGGCUGGUCUUGAUCCUGCUGUCUGAUGCUCUGGCCUUAACCCUAACCCUCAUGCAGGUCCCUGUGGAUUGAAGGCAGCCAGCAUGCCUUGGUUGCACGCGCACAGUUCCUUCAGAUAUUCAUGGAGUCACAUGGUUUUAACCUGUGGAGCUGUUACCUAAGGCAGUUCUGGGCAGUGCCGAAUCCACUGGCCCCAUAACAGCCCUAAAUGAACAAAUCCCAUCCCAUAAGACAGUGUUAGAUUAUUUUGGUCUAUAACAUACUUAUACACAACAGUGCUGUUAAAGGUUUGCCUUCAAGAAUGAAGAAUCUGAUGUUCUUCCUCAAUCCUGAGGCCCAGAAAAAGGGAAUUUAUUUAAUUGUAACAGCAGAGAUUUGUCUUGAAUCAAGUAGAAUUGUCUGCAUCCGUUACUGUACACAUACUACUGAAGUUGGUUUUAAUAGAAAUUGAAUGCAGAUUUCAAUCUCAAGUAUUCGUGGGGUCUAAUGACAUGGCAGAGGGUCUGGAGGAAGAGCCCAGCAGUAGCAAAAGUAAUAGCUGAAGACAGAGACUUAGCCCUGGAGAAAUCUGAUGUAUUUCUCCAGCAGGAGAAAGACAGGUAGAUAUUAAAGGGGCGAGGGGUGAGAGAAUGGACUUGAUUUCAACUCUUAAGAGGCCAGGCAGCAGAAUGAACAAUAAGGAGUUCCUUGGUUGAGUGUAUGUGGAGACUUUGAUAAGAAAGAAGAAAUUCGCUGGUAGCGUCACACUGACUCUGACAUGUCUUCUUCGUGGGGAAUAUCGUUAGGUUUUGAGCUAUAAUAUCAUGCUGCAUUAUGUUUUACCAAUUGAUACAAGGAGAGAAAAAAACAAAUAGUCUUUAAUUGAAACCAGCCAAGAGAACAAUGACAAGGAAGGCUUUAGCACAGUGACAUGGCAUAAACAAUAUGUUCUAAUGGAAACCUACUCUGUGUUUCAUGGGCUAUGAAUGCAGUACGUUAGACAAAAUAGGAGAAAGUCCUAUUAUUUUUCAGAAAGUACAAAGAAGGGAUCUGUUGGCUACGAGGCUUUCUUCUUUAAUCUGCUUUUCAGAUCGUAGUAGAAAAUAAUUCAACAAAUUGGAUGAAAGUCCAACAGUUUGACUAUUGCAGAAUCAUAAACUUGGGAUUUUUUUGAUACCUUAGAAAUUAUUUGAGUCAGUUUAGAGCUACUUAUUAUACAAUUUUAUUGCUAUAGCUGCUAUUGUGGGGCCUAACUGUAAUACAUGUAAGAAAAACACAGUACUAGGCCGGGAGAAGUGGCUCAUGCCUGUAAUCCCAGCACUUUGGGAGGCUGAGGUGGGC